rnacentral:lncRNA from 1 species
UCCAAUGAAGCAUGGCUGAAAUAACACAGUCUCCUUGUUGCAGGUUUUGGGAACGCAGCGUCAGCUAGACCCUGGGGCCCUGUGGCUUCCGUCCUCUCCUGGAGAGGUGACCAGCUGAGGAGUCGGGCCCUCUUGGCUCCGAGGAAGGGGGAACAACAUCUGCUGUGGCGUGUGCCCUGCCUGCUUCAUCUCUCACCUGACUUUAAACACAGAGGGAAUCAACACCCAGCUAGAACUGCACCACACCCAGUUCAGCUGGCAAGAGGAUGCUUUUAAAGAAGAAAAGGUGAUUAGGCCUGGAGUGUUUCCCACAAACCUAACGUCACAGAAUGAGUUAACAGCCAAUGAAUCAGAAACAUAUGGUGCUCAACAAGCUUCUCUCAGAUUACGCACUGUUUAAUAAUCUGGGGAAUCGUUAUUUGUCAAAACAGUUGGAACUUGUUACCAAAUGCAGGAUCUCUG